AGCUCCAAUAGUGUAUAUUAAAGUUGCUGCAGUUAAAAAGCUCGUAGUUGGAUUUCGGAUAAUAAAAAUUUAAUAUCAAUCUCUUAGAUUUGAUUUAAUUUUUAUUUCCUUCCUUUUGAAUACACUCCUUAAAAUUUUUUUUAGGGAUUAAAGUGUUUCAAAUCGUUUACUGUGAAGAAAUUAGAGUGUUCAAAGCAGGCGUAACCUAGCCUUUGAAUAUAUUAGCAUGGGAUAAUGAAAUAGGACUUUAGUCCUACUUUCGUUGGUUUCUAGGGCUGAAGUAAUGAUUAAUAGGGAUAGUUGGGGUCACUAGUAUUUAAUUGUCAGAGGUGAAAUUCUAAGAUUUAUUAAAGACUAACUACUGCGAAAGCAUUUGACAAGGAUGUUUUCA
rnacentral:rRNA from 1 species